rnacentral:tRNA from 1 species
GCGACAGCACAGUUAGGUAGUGCGACAGGCUGUUAACCUGUCGGUCGUAGGUUCGAGUCCUACCGGCGGCGCU